CCUACGAGAGGCAGCAGUGAGGAAUAUUGGUCAAUGGACGAGAGUCUGAACCAGCCAAGUAGCGUGAAGGAUGACUGCCCUAUGGGUUGUAAACUUCGUUUAUAAAGGAAUUAAUGAGGCACGUGUGCCUUUUUGCACGUACUUUAUGAAUAAGGACCGGCUAACUCCGUGCUAGCAGCCCCGGUAAUUCGGAAGAUCCGAGCGUUAUACGGAUAUAUGGGGUUUAAAGGGAGCGUAGGUGGGUGUUUACGUCAGUUGUGAAAUUGGGCGGUCCAACCGUGAAAUUGCAAUUGAUACUGGCGGUCUUGAGUGCAGUUGAGGAAGGCGGAAUUCGUAGUGUAGCGGUGAAAUGCUUAGAUAUCACGAAGAACCCCAGUUGCGAAGGCAGCUUACUAGACUGUGACUGACAUUGAUGCUCGAAAGUGUGGGGAUCAAACAGGAUUAGAUACCCUAGUAGUC
rnacentral:rRNA from 1 species